UGGAGGAUCCACGGUGUAUCCACCGAGUACUAGCAACAAACGCAAGCGGUCAAUGUGCGUACCCGUUUGUCAUGCACUGGCGGGUGACAGAGAGAGAAAGAGAGAGAAAGAUCCAUAGGGAGAAAAGUGUGUGAGUGACAUCCCGUUCGCUUUCAUUGUGGACUGGAAAUGUCAACACGCACACAUCUGCCCUCGCUUACUUUGACUCGGCGGUGUUGCGUUUGCCUCCCAAUGGAAUUUCAGUGGGGCUCUCGCGUGAGUAUUGUCCACCAGGAAAAAUGUGCCGCCUGGACUGGAUUCUGGAAUUGUGUCGAAUUUGCAGAGCAAUCUACCCGAUUCAAACAACCAUGAACUCAGGCUCAGUCAAUUCCGGCCACACAAAACGAACAAAACGUACAAUACACACCGAACCGAAUCACUGGACCAUAACACGCACGUUCGAAUAUACUCACUGGAUGCGUUGUUCUUUUGUAGCCUUCUUCCGCCCUUCCCCCACCCACCUUUAACCCCGUCGGACAAAUCAGCUAAAUGCAUUCAAAAACUGGCAUAUUUGGUGCUGUAUGGUGCCGUAGUUGGCAUUCAAAUAUAAUGUAAUCGAAACCGAGACUAGCCCCCAUACACGUUGGGCGCGGAUGUAUCGAUCAAUGCAUUACCAACAGGUGAAGGCGUAGCGGGUGCUACCCGACACGCAUUCCAGCUGGACAUUGUUUUGGAGGGUUCGGAGUUUGGUGCCUCGCUCUCAAAAUGUAGGGCCACAGCACUGCUCGUCCAAACGUGCAAGGGAUCCCAAAAUACUAGACGGCCGCAUUGCAUUGUUGUGCUCCCCCCUAUCGUGAGUGAUUUUUAAAAACCAUGUUUUAGUCUGUCCAUCGUUCUGCCACUACAUCCAGCCAAUUGUUCGAAGAAAGUACCCCAAUGGUCGAGUUUCCAAA